UUUACUGCUCAUUGGUGUGAUAACUAUCUACGCUAUUGACGGUAAAGCACGGUUUAGCUUCUAACAGUCCAUUGGCUUGGACAAUCUUCUAUCAAUGUGACCUCAAAUCAGGUAGGAUUACCCGCUGAACUUAAGCAUAUCAAUAAGCGGAGGAAAAGAAACUAACAAGGAUUCCCCUAGUAACUGCGAGUGAAGCGGGAAAAGCUCAAAUUUAAAAUCUGGCAGUCCUUUGGCUGUCCGAGUUGUAAUCUAGAGAAGUGCUAUCCGCGCUGGACCGUGUACAAGUCUCCUGGAAUGGAGCGUCAUAGAGGGUGAGAAUCCCGUCUUUGACACGGACUGCCAGGGCUUUGCGAUGUGCUCUCAAAGAGUCGAGUUGUUUGGGAAUGCAGCUCAAAAUGGGUGGUAAAUUCCAUCUAAAGCUAAAUAUUGGCGAGAGACCGAUAGCGAACAAGUACCGUGAGGGAAAGAUGAAAAGAACUUUGGAAAGAGAGUUAAACAGUACGUGAAAUUGCUGAAAGGGAAACGCUUGAAGUCAGUCGCGUUGUCCAGGGAUCAACCUUGCUUUUGCUUGGUGCACUUUCUGGUUGACGGGUCAGCAUCAAUUUUGACCGUUGGAAAAAGAUUAGGGGAAUGUGGCAUCUUAGGAUGUGUUAUAGCCCUUGGUUGCAUACAAUGGUUGGGAUUGAGGAACUCAGCACGCCGCAAGGCCGGGUUUUCAACCACGUACGUGCUUAGGAUGCUGGCAUAAUGGCUUUAAUCGACCCGUCUUGAAACACGGACC
rnacentral:rRNA from 1 species